UUUUAUGGAGAGUUUGAUCCUGGCUCAGGAUGAACGCUGGCGGCGUGCCUAAUACAUGCAAGUCGAGCGAACGGAUGAGAAGCUUGCUUCUCUGAUGUUAGCGGCGGACGGGUGAGUAACACGUGGAUAACCUACCUAUAAGACUGGGAUAACUUCGGGAAACCGGAGCUAAUACCGGAUAAUAU
rnacentral:rRNA from 1 species